GAUGCGUCCGGAUGAGGUCUUCAUCGGCCAUAAACAUGUUAGAUAAGGUCGGUGGGACUUUCGUCCGUUUGCAAG
rfam:Trachymyrmex zeteki contig2964, whole genome shotgun sequence.